GACGAACGCUGGCGGCGUGCUUAACACAUGCAAGUCGAACGAAGAGCGAUGGAAGCUUGCUUCUAUCAAUCUUAGUGGCGAACGGGUGAGCAACGCGUAAUCAACCUGCCCUUCAGAGGGGGACAACAGUUGGAAACGACUGCUAAUACUGCAUACGAUCUAAUCUCGGCAUCGAGGAUAGAUGAAAGGUGGCCUCUACAUGUAAGCUAUCACUGCAGGAGGGGAUUGCGUCUGAUUCGCUAGUUGGAGGGGUAACGGCCCACCAAGGCGAUGAUCAGUAGCCGGUCGGAGAGGAUGAGCGGCCACAUUGGGACGGAGACACGGCCCAGACUCCUACGGGAGGCAGCAGUGGGGAAUCUGCCGCAAUGGACGAAAGUCUGACGGAGCAACGCCGCGUGAGUGAUGACGGCCUUCGGGUUGUAAAGCUCUGUUAUUCGGGACGAAAGGCCUUCUUGCGAAUAGUGAGAAGGAUUGACGGUACCGGAAUAGAAAGCCACGGCUAACUACGUG
rnacentral:rRNA from 1 species